AGAGUUUGAUCAUGGCUCAGAACGAACGUUGGCGGCGUGGAUUAGGCAUGCAAGUCGCACGAAUCCCAGCAAUGGGGGAAGUGGCGUAAGGGGCAGUAAGGCAUGGGGAUCUACCCAGGGGUCCGGCAUAGCCCUUCGAGAGAAGGGGUAAUUCCGGAUGACGUCGUGAGACCAAAGGUCCGCCGCCCUUGGAGGAGCCCAUGUGGUAUUAGGUAGUUGGCGGGGUAACGGCCCACCAAGCCUUAGAUGCCUAGCGGGUGUGAGAGCACGACCCGCGCCACUGGCACUGAGACACUGGCCAGACACCUACGGGUGGCUGCAGUCGAGGAUCUUCGGCAAUGAGCGCAAGCUUGACCGAGCGACGCCGCGUGUGCGAUGAAGGCCUUCGGGUUGUAAAGCACUGUCGAGGGGGAGAAAAGCCCGCAAGGGUGUGAUCUAUCCCUGGAGGAAGCACGGGCUAAGUUCGUGCCAGCAGCCGCGGUAAUAC
rnacentral:rRNA from 1 species